AUAUCAAUAAGCGGAGGAAAAGAAACCAACAGGGAUUGCCCUAGUAACGGCGAGUGAAGCGGCAACAGCUCAAAUUUGAAAUCUGGCGCAAGCCCGAGUUGUAAUUUGGAGAGGAUGUUUCGGGGCAGCGGCCGGUCUAAGUUCCUUGGAACAGGACGUCAUAGAGGGUGAGAAUCCCGUACGCGACCGGCUGGCACCCCGCACGAAACUCCUUCGACGAGUCGAGUUGUUUGGGAAUGCAGCUCUAAAUGGGAGGUAUAUUUCAUCUAAAGCUAAAUAUUGGCCAGAGACCGAUAGCGCACAAGUA
rnacentral:rRNA from 1 species